rnacentral:rRNA from 1 species
CGGUUAUGUCCAGUAUGCAGGGCUUGCCUGGCACCUCUCGGGGUUACAGCCUUGCUGAAUUAUUCACCCUUGUCUUUUGCGUACUUCUUGUUUCCUUGGUGGGUUCGCCCACCACUAGGACAAACAUAAACCUUUUGUAAUUGCAAUCAGCGUCAGUAACAAAUUAAUAAUUACAACUUUCAACAACGGAUCUCUUGGUUCUGGCAUCGAUGAAGAACGCAGCGAAAUGCGAUAAGUAGUGUGAAUUGCAGAAUUCAGUGAAUCAUCGAAUCUUUGAACGCACAUUGCGCCCUUUGGUAUUCCAAAGGGCAUGCCUGUUCGAGCGUCAUUUGUACCCUCAAGCUUUGCUUGGUGUUGGGCGUCUUGUCUCUAGCUUUGCUGGAGACUCGCCUUAAAGUAAUUGGCAGCCGGCCUACUGGUUUCGGAGCGCAGCACAAGUCGCACUCUCUAUCAGCAAAGGUCUAGCAUCCAUUAAGCCUUUUUUUCAACUUUUGACCUCGGAUCAGGUAGGGAUACCCGCUGAACUUAAGCAUAUCAAUAAGCGGAGGA